AUGGAGGAGGUCCUCAAGGAGGCUGAUGUGAUAAGCCUGCACCCCGUGCUGGACAAGACGGCGUACUACCUAAUAAACCCUGAGCGGCUAGCGAUGAUGGAGGAGGUAGUGUUGGUGAAUGCGAGCCGUGGCCCGGUGAUCGACGAGGUUGCAUUGGUGGAGCACCUGAGGGCGAAUCAUAUGUUCCAUGUUGGCCUUGAUGUUUUUGAGGAUGAGCCUUACAUGAAGCCAGGGCUGGCUGAGAUGAAGAAUGUCGUCGUCGUGCCUCACAUCGCAUCAACAUCCAAGACGCGUGAAGGGAUGGCGACGCUCGCUGCUCUGAACGUGCUUGUUUGGUAUGAUUUCCCUGCAUUAUGGAGCACCAUCAUUAGUACUUGCAACUCUAUACCAGUAUUUGAAGAAGUUUAA
rnacentral:rRNA from 1 species